UACGUAGGGUGCGAGCGUUGUCCGGAAUUAUUGGGCGUAAAGAGCUUGUAGGCGGUUUGUCGCGUCUGCUGUGAAAAUCCGGGGCUCAACCCCGGACUUGCAGUGGGUACGGGCAGACUAGAGUGUGGUAGGGGAGACUGGAAUUCCUGGUGUAGCGGUGAAAUGCGUAGAUAUCGAGAGGAACACCUGCGGCGAAGGCGGGUUGCUGGGCUGACACUGACGCUGAGGCGCGAAAGCCAGGGGAGCAAACGGG
rnacentral:rRNA from 1 species